rnacentral:rRNA from 1 species
AUUGAACGCUGGCGGCAUGCCUUACACAUGCAAGUCGAACGGUAACAGAUCUUCGGAUGCUGACGAGUGGCGAACGGGUGAGUAAUACAUCGGAACGUGCCUAGUAGUGGGGGACAACUACUCGAAAGAGUGGCUAAUACCGCAUGAGAUCUACGGAUGAAAGCAGGGGAUCGAAAGACCUUGUGCUACUAGAGCGGCCGAGGGCAGAUUAGGUAGUUGGUGGGAUAAAAGCUUACCAAGCCGACGAUCUGUAGCUGGUCUGAGAGGACGAUCAGCCACACUGGGACUGAGACACGGCCCAGACUCCUACGGGAGGCAGCAGUGGGGAAUUUUGGACAAUGGGCGAAAGCCUGAUCCAGCAAUGCCGCGUGCAGGAUGAAGGCCUUCGGGUUGUAAACUGCUUUUGUACGGAACGAAAAGCCCUGGGUUAAUACCCUGGGGUCAUGACGGUACCGUAAGAAUAAGCACCGGCUAACUACGUGCCAGCCGCCGCCGGUAAAAC